AGCGAACGCUGGCGGCAGGCCUAACACAUGCAAGUCGAACGAAGCCUUCGGGCUUAGUGGCGGACGGGUGAGUAACACGUGGGAACGUACCUUUUGGUUCGGAACAACUCAGGGAAACUUGAGCUAAUACCGGAUGAGCCCUUAGGGGGGAAGAUUUAUCGCCGAAAGAGCGGCCCGCGUUAGAUUAGCUAGUUGGUGAGGUAAAGGCUCACCAAGGCAACGAUCUAUAGCUGGUCUGAGAGGAUGAUCAGCCACACUGGGACUGAGACACGGCCCAGACUCCUACGGGAGGCAUCAGUGGGGAAUCUUGCGCAAUGGGCGAAAGCCUGACGCAGCCAUGCCGCGUGAAUGAUGAAGGUCUUAGGAUUGUAAAAUUCUUUUACCAGGGACGAUAAUGACGGUACCUGGAGAAAAAGCCCCGGCUAACUUCGUGCCAGCCGCCGCUGUAACAC
rnacentral:rRNA from 1 species